GGCUCCGUAGCUCAGCUGGUAGAGCACCGGCCUUUUAAGCCGGGUGUCGCGGGUUCGAAUCCCGUCGGAGCCA
rnacentral:tRNA from 1 species